GACGAACGCUGGCGGCGUGCUUAACACAUGCAAGUCGAGCGGUAAGGCCCUUUCGGGGGUACACGAGCGGCGAACGGGUGAGUAACACGUGGGUGACCUGCCCUCGGCUCUGGGAUAAGCCUGGGAAACUGGGUCUAAUACCGGAUAUGACUCCAUGACGCAUGUUGUGGGGUGGAAAGCCUUGUGCGGCUGAGGAUGGGCCCGCGGCCUAUCAGCUUGUUGGUGGGGUGANGGCCUACCAAGGCGACGACGGGUAGCCGGCCUGAGAGGGCGACCGGCCACACUGGGACUGAGACACGGCCCAGACUCCUACGGGAGGCAGCAGUGGGGAAUCUUGCGCAAUGGGCGAAAGCCUGACGCAGCGACGCCGCGUGAGGGAUGACGGCCUCGGUGUAA
rnacentral:rRNA from 1 species